rnacentral:rRNA from 1 species
UACGUAGGGUGCAAGCGUUUGUCCGGAAUUAUUGGGCGUAAAGAGCUCGUAGGCGGUUUGUCGCGUCGGCUGUGAAAACCUGGGGCUCAACCCCGGGCCUGCAGCCGAUACGGGCAAACUAGAAUUCGGUAGGGGAGACUGGGAAUUCCUGGUGUAGCGGUGAAAUGCGCAGAUAUCAGGAGGAACACCGGUGGCGAAGGCGGGUCUCUGGGCCGAUAUUGACGCUGAGGAGCGAAAGCGUGGGGAGCAAACAGG